AAGACUAUUCUUUCAGGGAUCAUUUUUAUGCUUUGUACUAGAAGUUUCUCUGAAAGUGUAGAGCACCAUCAACUAUGGGAAAGGGGCACAGCAUUGUCUCCUAAGCAUGAAGCCAGCUCUCUGUGUUGUGUUGCUGCAACUGACACUUGGUAUUGAUGAUCAUUCUUUCCCUCCCUCAAAAGAAUAAGAGGGGAGGAUGAAGUCUGAGAGG
rnacentral:snoRNA from 10 species